GACGAACGCUGGCGGCGUGCUUAACACAUGCAAGUCGAGCGGAAAGGCCCUGCUUUUGUGGGGUGCUCGAGUGGCGAACGGGUGAGUAACACGUGAGUAACCUGCCCUUGACUUUGGGAUAACUUCAGGAAACUGGGGCUAAUACCGGAUAGGAGCUCCUGCUGCAUGGUGGGGGUUGGAAAGUUUCGGCGGUUGGGGAUGGACUCGCGGCUUAUCAGCUUGUUGGUGGGGUAGUGGCUUACCAAGGCUUUGACGGGUAGCCGGCCUGAGAGGGUGACCGGCCACAUUGGGACUGAGAUACGGCCCAGUCUCCUACGGGAGGCAGCAGUGGGGAAUAUUGCACAAUGGGCGGAAGCCUGAUGCAGCAACGCCGCGUGCGGGAUGACGGCCUUCGGGUUGUAAACCGCUUUCGCCUGUGACGAAGCGUGAGUGACGGUAAUGGGUAAAGAAGCACCGGCUAACUACGUG
rnacentral:rRNA from 1 species